UUGUUUCCGCGUGAGGGAUAGUAGUGGAGCUCUUUGUAGUGCCGCGAAGCUGGGCAGUACAAAAGCGGGAACGAAUAGCCCGACCCGAC
rnacentral:sRNA from 1 species